rnacentral:rRNA from 1 species
UACAGAGGUCCCAAGCGUUGUUCGGAUUCACUGGGCGUAAAGGGUGUGUAGGCGGUUGCUUAAGUUUGGUGUGAAAUCUCCCGGCUCAACCGGGAGGGUGCGCCGAAUACUGAGUGACUAGAGUGCGGGAGAGGAAAGUGGAAUUCCUGGUGUAGCGGUGAAAUGCGUAGAUAUCAGGAGGAACACCGGUGGUGUAGACGGCUUUCUGGACCGUAACUGACGCUGAGACACGAAAGCGUGGGUAGCAAACAGG